rnacentral:lncRNA from 1 species
AGAGGAAGAGAGCAGGACCCAGAAAGACAGACAUAUAGAGAGAGCGAGGAAGAGAAGUGAGUGUGGUCAUCUCAAUGGUCUCUGCUGUGGUCUCUGCUGUAACACUGAAUCUGAACGGAAUGGAGGGAUUAAACGGAGGGAUUUAAACCUUUUUGGAGGAAGAAGAAGAACGAGUGACAAAAGAAGGAGUAUUUCAGGAUCGGGAGAGCAGCAGGAUUGAAAGGGAGUCUGGGGUUGUAUCCCAAAGGGCACCCUAUUCCCUAUAUAGUGCACUACUUUUGUCCAGAGCCCAAUGGGCCCAAAAGAAGUGCACCAGGGUGUCUUUUGGGGACUCAGGCGUAGCCAGCAUGCUCCAUAGAGUGGUACUCCUCUAUGUGUCCCGGUGAGGUGUUCUUACAAAUGGAAAGUGAAUAGGCUUUAUAUCUCUGCUCUCUCAAUAUAAUGCUUUACUAAAAGACCGUUUCUCAUCUUCUCAACACCUUCUUUUAUUUCCCUCCCUCUGUUUAUCUUGUUCUCCUCACUUUCACUCUUUUUUCAUAUUUUCUUUCAUCAUGUCUAUCUCUAACCUCUCUUCUCUUUCUCCUGCUCCCCCUUCUCUCUCUCUCUCUCUCUCUCUCUCUCUCUCUCUCUCUCUAUCUGUGUCCAUGGCCCCUUGUGGUGAUUGAGCUCUGCCUAUAUAGGACACACUAACCCCACACCUGAAAUCUCUGGCUCCUGAUUGGAUGCUGCCUCCCAAGCAAACAGGAAGUUCAGGGUUUCUACUAAAUACCCAGAGGCUCGGUUACCAUAGAGACAAAGAUAAGUGGGAGAGUGAACAGUGCUCUCUUUAUUUCUGCUUUAUGAAGGUAAUCUCAGGUUCUCUCUUCUCUCCCAUCUCUCCUUUAUGUUUCUCUUUUGUGUUUCACUGAACCACCUCCAUCCAUCACACAUUCUCCAGUCUAGUGCGUGCCUCUGUGUAUGAACGUCCUGGGCUAUUCUCCCAGAGACUAACGUUGACGCUGUAAAAACGAUGACUGAAAAAAGCUGACGCCCAAACCAAUAUUUCAUUUCAGAAUGGAUAAAAAGUUGGUUAAGGUUAAGGUUAGGGUAAGGGUUAGGUCAAGGUUAAGGGGUUUGGUUAAGGUUAGGGUUAAGGUAAGGGUUAGGGUUAGGUCAUGGUUAAGGUGUUUGGUUGGGGUUAGGGUUAAGGUAAGGGUUAGGUCAUGGCUAAGGGGUUUGGUUGGGGUUAGGGUUAAGGUAAGGGUUAGAGUUAGGUCAUGGUUAAGGUGUUUGGUUGGGGUUAAGGUUAAGGUUAGGGUAAGGGUUAGGUCAUGGUUAAGGUGUUUGGUUGGGGUUAGGGUUAAGGUAAGGGUCAGUUUUAGGUUUUGGCUAGUCGGUUUAAGCGUCAGCUAUGUCCUUAUAGUCUCUCCCGUUGACCCUGUCCCUGUAUGGUUGGUUCACUGACCAUGUCCUACUCAGCUCCUCUCCUCUAAAGUCACUGUGUGUGUGUGUGUGUGUGUGUGUGUGUGUGUGUGUGUGUGUGUGUGUGUGUGUGUGUGUGUGUGUGUGUGUGUGUGUUUACUUGCGUAUGCGUGUGAAUGAAUGACAUGAACUAAUGAAUUACAUUUUAUUUUUGAGUCAAAUCUCCAGUUGGCAACCCAUCCCUUACGGGAUUAAUUGACACAUAAACAAACAUUACAAUAGUUCACAGUGAUAAUUCAGUGAUAAUUCAAUGAUAAUUCUUCUGGUGCACACCGCAUAAAGAAUUAAAAAUAAAUCAAUACACAAUAGUAAAUAAGGUUAUUCAAACAGUAAUAAUAACCCUAGAGCAGUAAAAAAUAAUACAAAUAAAUAAAUUACAGAAAAACUAUGCUGUGAUGUCAGGAUGGUGUGUGUGUGUGUGUUUUGUGUGUCUGAAACAGUGAUACGGCUGGCGGGUCGUUAAUUGAUUUCAUGAGUAUUGUGUCCCACAGGCUCUCAAACUGCCUCUCCAUUCAAUAACGUUUCAAGGUCCCUUUCUCCCUCUCUCCCGCUCUCUUGCUUUCUCUCUCUUUUUCUCAAUCUUUCUCGCUUUCUCUCUCUGUAACUACUGGAGUUGGGCAGCAUUAUCGUUGUUACUGCAGUGCUUCCUGUUGACGUUGUGUUAACGGGGAAAGGCUUCUCGGCAGGAAACCUGUCAGGCACUGUUACAUGCGCG